rnacentral:rRNA from 1 species
AUUGAACGCUGGCGGCAGGCCUAACACAUGCAAGUCGAGCGAGCGGCGGACGGGUGAGUAAUGCCUAGGAAUCUGCCUGGUAGUGGGGGAUAACACUUGGAAACAGGUGCUAAUACCGCAUAUUGAUGGAUGGACCCGCGGUGCAUUAGCUAGUUGGUGAGGUAACGGCUCACCAAGGCCACGAUGCAUAGCCGACCUGAGAGGAUGACCAGCCACACUGGAACUGAGACACGGUCCAGACUCCUACGGGAGGCAGCAGUGGGGAAUAUUGCACAAUGGGCGCAAGCCUGAUGCAGCCAUGCCGAGUGUGUGAAGAAGGCCUUCGGGUUGUAAAGCACUUUCAGCGGGGAGGCGUUACCCGCAGAAGAAGCACCGGCUAACUCCGUGCCAGCAGCCGCGGUAAUUC